UACGUAGGGCGCAAGCGUUGUCCGGAAUUAUUGGGCGUAAAGAGCUCGUAGGCGGCUUGUCACGUCUGCUGUGAAAUCCCGGGGCUCAACCCCGGGCGUGCAGUGGAUACGGGCUGGCUAGAGGCAGGCAGGGGAGAACGGAAUUCCCGGUGUAGCGGUGAAAUGCGCAGAUAUCGGGAGGAACACCGGUGGCGAAGGCGGUUCUCUGGGCCCGUACUGACGCUGAGGAGCGAAAGCGUGGGGAGCGAACAGG
rnacentral:rRNA from 1 species